rnacentral:rRNA from 1 species
GCUACGGGAGGCAGCAGUGAGGAAUAUUGGUCAAUGGGCGCGAGCCUGAACCAGCCACGUCGCGUGAGGGAAGACGGUCCUAUGGAUUGUAAACCUCUUUUGUCGGGGAGCAAAAGACGCCACGCGUGGCGUUCCGAGAGUACCCGAAGAAAAAGCAUCGGCUAACUCCGUGCCAGCAGCCGCGGUCAUACGGAGGAUGCCACCGUUAUCCGGAUUUAUUGGGUUUAAAGGGUUCGCAGGCGGAAGAUCAAGUCAGCGGGAAAAUUGAGGGGCUACACCUCUUCGCGCCGUUGAAACUGGUGUUCUUGAGGGAGUGAGAAGCAUGCGGAAGGCGGGGGGUAGCGGGGAAAUGCAUAGAUAUCACGCAGAACUCCGAUGGCGAAGGCAGCAUACCGGCGCUCAACUGACGCUCAUGCACGAAAGUGUGGGUAUCGAACAGGAUGAGAUACCCUAGUAGUC